GACGGGUGAGUAACGCGUGAGUAACCUGCCUUUCAGAGGGGGAUAACGUUCUGAAAAGAACGCUAAUACCGCAUGACAUAUCGGAACCACAUGGUUUUGAUAUCAAAGAUUUUAUCGCUUGAAGAUGGACUCGCGUCCGAUUAGUUAGUUGGUGAGGUAACGGCUCACCAAGACCGCGAUCGGUAGCCGGACUGAGAGGUUGAACGGCCACAUUGGGACUGAGACACGGCCCAGACUCCUACGGGAGGCAGCAUG
rnacentral:rRNA from 1 species